UCCCAUUCCCUUAUCAGGACUGAACACAGACCACUCACCAUGGGGUUUGGGCUCUGCUGGAUUUUCCUUGUUGCUAUUUUAAGAGGUGUCCAGUGUGAGGUGCAGCUGGUGGAGUCUGGGGGAGGCUUGGUGCAGCCUGGGGGGUCUCUGAGACUCUCCUGUGCAGCCUCUGGAUUCACCUUCAGUAGCAACAGCAUGAACUGGGUCCGCCAGGCUCCAGGGAAGGGGCUGGAGUGGGUGGCAGUUAUAUGGAAUGAUGGAAGUCAGAAAUACUAUGCAGACUCUGUAAAAGGCCGCUUCACCAUCUCCAGAGACAAUGCCAAGAAUAUGCUGUAUCUUCAAAUGAACAGUCUGAGAGCUGAGGACACGGCCAUGUAUUACUGUGCAAGAUACACAGUGAGGAGAAGUCAGUGUGAGCCCAGACCUCAGGUCCCAGCCAGCCAGCAGCAGGAGACCUGUGUGCUGGACAGCGGACACCAGAUGAGUGUGACUGCAAAGCUAGAGAAGAAGGACCCCGGCGGUGACGUUCAUUCACUUGUCAUCACUCUCAUAGCACCAAUAGCAGGUGAUGCCAUCAAGAGGAAGUACAGGGACCCACCGUACCAUGGAAUGGAUGUGCAGACUGAUGAUGUUAUCACACAGAGGGACCUUGAAAAGGUUUAUCGCUUCAUGGAGGUGUCUGUUGGGAGCAGAGCAGGCUUUUCAACAAGUAAGUCUUGA